CUUAUUGAAGUUGACAGAAUUGUUUUUUCCACUGGCUUUCAGAGCUGAAACUAUAAAGUUAUAGGAUAAACAUAUCAAACGGAAGUGUUCAUGCCCACUGCAAAAAGGAAAAAAUUAAGUUCAUCAACUGAAUCCCCAUCCAGUUUGACUACUUCUGUCAGUGCAAAGUCUUUGUGCGACUUAAACGACUUUGAAGAAAGCCUAAUAAACUACUUUGAGAUGUCUGAAAAGAAGCACUAGCAAGACUGUGAAGAGGAGUUGUAUAUCCGCAACUAUGUUGAUUGGCAGAAAAAUGAAAAGUGGGAGGCAACUCGGAGCACCUUGGCAAACCACACUGCAAUGGCAACCUACUUGAUUCAAGAAUGCGGGGUAACUUGUACUGGAACUCAAUCCCAGUUCAAGUACUAUCGAGUGGUCGAUAAGUGGAGACUGUUCACACACCUCCGAGGUGAUUGUGCCAAGCCAGAGACGGGGAUAGGAUGGGACGAGGAAACGCAAUCUUUCUCUGUUCAACAUACUUAACUCCUACAACUUUCAAGUGGACGACAAAAGCUAUGCAGGCCUCCAUCACAUUCAUGUCGCUGAAUCUGGCCACUAUAUAUAUAACAUAACAUCAAUACUAAUUCACGCCACCUUUAGUUCUGUUUACACAUAACGUUAAAUUUGACUUCUUGCUUCUUACUUGCCUCAAAAGAAGUGCAUCUGCGGUCCUUUAUUGCAGUUUCCUGUAAGAACAUGGAAACUACCUUCAAGCUUUUUUCUUCGCAAG